GGAUAUGAGGGCCACCUGGCUGUGACAUAUGUCACCCCAUCAAUUGCCAGGGUUGAUUCAGCUGGCUAGGCAGGUGUCCCCUUUCUCCCUCAGUGAUCCAGGUUUGUCCCUCCUGAAGCUGCGCUCUUGGUGGAAGAGGAUAACCACUCCCAAUAGAGGACUGUUCCUCGGUCAGGGGUCUAUGAGCAGCCUCACUCCCCUGCUAGAACCUCCAAACAAGCCAGAUGCUAAUCCACUGAUUAGCUAUUAGCUACUGCUCACAGUCAGUGAUUUCCAUACAUCAGGCUAU
rnacentral:snRNA from 1 species